rnacentral:rRNA from 1 species
GACGAACGCUGGCGGCGUGCCUAAUACAUGCAAGUCGAGCGAAGCGGCGGUUGGGUGAGUAACGCGUGGGGAACCUGCCCUUAAGCCUGGGAUACCAUUUGAAACCAGAUGAUAAUGCCGGAUACUAAAGGAUUGACCUGCGAUGCGUUAGCUAGUUGGUAAGGUAACGGCUUACCAAGGCGAUGAUGCAUAGCCGGUUUGAGAGAAUGACCGGCAACACUGGGACUGAGACACGGCCCAAAUUCCGACGGGAGGCAGCAGUGGGGAAUAUUGCACAAUGGGCGCAAGCCUGAUGCAGCCAUGCCGCGUGUAUGAAGAAGGCCUUCGGGUUGUAAAGUACUUUCAGCGAGGAGGCGUUACUCGCAGAAGAAGCACCGGCUAACUCCGUGCCAGCAGCCGCGGUAAUUC